rnacentral:rRNA from 1 species
AGUGAACGCUGGCGGCAGGCUUAACACAUGCAAGCCGAGCGGAGAUGAGGUGCCUGCACCUUAUCUUAGCGGCGGACGGGUGAGUAAUGCUUAGGAAUCUGCCUAUUAGUGGGGGACAACAAUCCGAAAGGAAUGCUAAUACCGCUUACGUCCUACGGGAGAAAGCAGGGGAUCUUCGGACCUUGCGUUAAUAGAUGAGCCUAAGUCGGAUUAGCUAGUUGGUGGGGUAAAGGCCUACCAAGGCGACGAUCUGUAGCGGGUCUGAGAGGAUGGUCCGCCACACUGGGACUGAGACACGGCCCAGACUCCUACGGGAGGCAGCAGUGGGGAAUAUUGGACAAUGGGGGGAACCCUGAUCCAGCCAUGCCGCGUGUGUGAAGAAGGCCUUAUGGUUGUAAAGCACUUUAAGCGAGGAGGAGGCUCUUUUGGCUAAUACCCAAGAUGAGUGGACGUUACUCGCAGAAUAAGCACCGGCUAACUCUGUGCCAGCCGCCGCUGUAA